AAGCCAAGGUUAGACUGGGGAGAGCAGAGUGCAGACCACCCUACUAAAGCCAAGGUUAGACUGGGGAGAGCAGAGUGCUGACCACCCUACUAAAGCCAAGGUUAGACUGGGGAGAGCAGAGUGCUGACCACCCUACUAAAGCCAAGGUUAGACUGGGGAGAGCAGAGUGCAGACCACCCUACUAAAGCCAAGGUUAGACUGGGGAGAGCAGAGUGCUGACCACCCUACUAAAGCCAAGGUUAGACUGGGGAGAGCAGAGUGCUGACCACCCUACUAAAGCCAAGGUUAGACUGGGGAGAGCAGAGUGCUGACCACCCUACUAAAGCCAAGGUUAGACUGGGGAAAACAGAGUGCCCACCACCCUACUAAAGCCAAGGUUAGACUGGGGAGAGCAGAAUGCUGACCACCCUACUAAAGCCAAGGUUAGACUGGGGAGAGCAGAGUGCAGACCACCCUACUAAAGCCAAGGUUAGACUGGGGAGAGCAGAGUGCUGACCACCCCACUAAAGCCAAGGUUAGACUGGGGAGAGCAGAGUGCCCACCACCCUACUAAAGCCAAGGUUAGACUGGGGAGAGCAGAGUGCCGACCACCCUACUAAAGCCAAGGUUAGACUGGGGAGAGCAGAGUGCCCACCACCCUACUAAAGCCAAGGUUAGACUGGGGAAAGCAGAGUGCCGACCACCCUACUAAAGCCAAGGUUUGACUGGGGAGAGCAGAGUGCCCACCACCCUACUAAAGCCAAGGUUAGACUGGGGAGAGCAGAGUGCUGACCACCCUACUAAAGCCAAGGUUAGACUGGGGAGAGCAGAGUGCUGACCACCCUACUAAAGCCAAGGUUAGACUGGGGAAAACAGAGUGCCCACCACCCUACUAAAGCCAAGGUUAGACUGGGGAGAGCAGAGUGCUGACCACCCCACUAAAGCCAAGGUUAGACUGGGGAGAGCAGAGUGCCCACCACCCUACUAAAGCCAAGGUUAGACUGGGGAGAGCAGAGUGCUG